UACCACGCUAGAUACUACAGAGAAUGGCUAAAUGGCGAUAGCAAAACCCCAAUACGAAAUCUCUGCCGGCGUAAGUUUGAAGUUGGUCUAUUCGAGCUUGGGUUUAGCCUCUUUACACAGAAGUAUCCUAUGGGUUUCCUCUAUUAACCCAUGUGGAAGAUAGUGUCUAGACUUCCGUUCUAAAAACAACGAUUUUAGCCUAGGAAAAAUCUCUUCCUCAAAGAGAGCUUUCUUCACUUACCCUCCUUUCAUCUUGAACUACUCUAUUUACAUACGGCAGUAAGGAAGUAAGUGGUAUGCCGAACAUGUGAGGUGGCAGAUUUUAUU
rnacentral:rRNA from 1 species